rnacentral:rRNA from 1 species
GACGAACGCUGGCGGCGUGCCUAAUACAUGCAAGUCGAACGCUUCUUUCCUCCCGAGUGCUUGCACUCAAUUGGAAAGAGGAGUGGCGGACGGGUGAGUAACACGUGGGUAACCUACCCAUCAGAGGGGGAUAACACUUGGAAACAGGUGCUAAUACCGCAUAACAGUUUAUGCCGCAUGGCAUAAGAGUGAAAGGCGCUUUCGGGUGUCGCUGAUGGAUGGACCCGCGGUGCUUUAGCUAGUUGGUGAGGUAACGGCUCACCAAGGCCACGAUGCAUAGCCGACCUGAGAGGGUGAUCGGCCACACUGGGACUGAGACACGGCCCAGACUCCUACGGGAGGCAGCAGUAGGGAAUCUUCGGCAAUGGACGAAAGUCUGACCGAGCAACGCCGCGUGAGUGAAGAAGGUUUUCGGAUCGUAAAACUCUGUUGUUAGAGAAGAACAAGGACGUUAGUAACUGAACGUCCCCUGACGGUAUCUAACCAGAAAGCCACGGCUAACUACGUG